rnacentral:rRNA from 1 species
UACAGAGGUCCCAAGCGUUGUUCGGAUUUACUGGGCGUAAAGGGUGCGUAGGUGGCGAGGUAAGUUUGAUGUGAAAUCUCCGAGCUCAACUCGGAAAUGGCAUUGAAUACUAUCCCGCUUGAGGGUCGGAGGGGAGACUGGAAUUCUCGGUGUAGCGGUGAAAUGCGUAGAUAUCGAGAGGAACACCUGCGGCGAAGGCGGGUUGCUGGGCUGAUACUGACGCUGAGGCGCGAAAGCUAGGGGAGCGAACGGG